UUCCCAAUGAUGUAUCUUCCAAAUAGAUUUCGCAGAAAACCGUCUAUAUUCAUGUUUGAUUGACCUUUAACCACUAAUUACGAAUCUUCCAAGAAUAUUUCAAGAGUCCAAGGUUCGGUCUAUUAUUUUCCUGUUCUGUAAUUAGAUCACAUGUUUUAUAGUUCAUGGAGAUAUGACUA
rnacentral:rRNA from 1 species